rnacentral:rRNA from 1 species
AGCGAACGUUAGCGGCGGGCCUAACACAUGCAAGUCGAACGCGAAAGGUCUUCGGACUGAGUAGAGUGGCGCACGGGUGAGUAACACGUAGGUAAUCUACCCUUUGGCGGGGGAUAACGUUCCGAAAGGAGCGCUAAUACCGCAUAAGACCACGGAGUCUCCGGACGCUGUGGGAAAAGGUGGCCUCUUCUUGAAAGCUACCACCGAAGGAUGAGCCUGCGUCCCAUCAGCUAGUUGGUAAGUAAUGGCUUACCAAGGCGAAGACGGGUAGCUGGUUUGAGAGAAUGAUCAGCCACACUGGCACUGGAACACGGGCCAGACUCCUACGGGAGGCAGCAGUGAGGAAUAUGGGCAAUGGGCGAAAGCCUGACCCAGCCACGCCGCGUGAGUGAUGAAGGCCCUCGGGUCGUAAAGCUCUGUGGAGAGAGACGAAUAAAGACCUGUGAAGAGCAGGCCUUGACGGUAUCUCCUUAGCAAGCACCGGCUAACUCCGUGCCAG